CUCAGUUCCUCCAUUUGGCUAAACCAGGUCUUAAGUGGAGGUGUUAUGGCCUGUUUCCAGAAUUGGGGGAGCACUCGUUUGGCUACAUUGAGUAUUCGAAUGGUCAUAAAUUUUUUGUAUUUGGAAUGAGGAGUAGAGGUGUGGUGCAGGAGCAUUGCUGCCAGUUCCAGGGGGGGUGGUUUGUCCGUAAAUUUCUCUAGCAUUUUGUGGAUGUUUUGCCAGUAUGGUUUGAUCUUUGCGCAUUCCCACCAUAUGUGUUAUACUACCCUCCUCUUGUUGGCAUCUCCAGCAUAGGCCGGGUUGAUCUGGGUCUAUCUGGUGAAGGAAGUGAGGUGUCCUGUACCAUUGUGUCAGUAGUUUGUAGGCUGUCUCUUGUGUUUUGCUGUGCAUGGAGCAGUGGUGUGCGAGGUAACAUAUGGACUCCCAUUCCUUAUUUGUCAGCGUGUAUCCGAGGGCUUCCUCCCAUUUCCUCAUAAAUAGGGGUGUCUCGGUCGGGAUGUCCGUUUGUAGCAUGGUGUAAAGGAAAGAUACUCCAUGUGGGAGCGGGUCUGGGUGCAUACAGACCACUUCCAGUGUGGUAUGUUGUCUAGUGAGCGCUGAGCCCUGUGGUAAGGUAUGGACGAAGUUGGUUAGCUUGGUAUAUCUGAAGUGCUGCAUGAAGGUUGGGUGCGUCUCUGUCGUCAUGUCUGUCAGUUUUUUACAUUUCCCUCCCUGCAGGACAUGGUGUAGGCGUGGGUGUGGGUCUGUGAGGAUGUCUUUAAAGGCUCUUGGGUCUAGUCCCGGGGGAAAGUCGACGUUGUGCGUCAGUAGGAGGGGGGAGGGGUAUGGUGACAUGGUCCCCUUCCUCGUUGUCCUCCUCCAUACUUUCAUGGUGUGUUUUGUGUAGAUGGACAUUUCGCCCCAUUUUGCCGUUUCUCGGCCCCAGGGUAGUCCCGAGAGUGUUCUGCCUGCCUCAGUCUCUUCCACCGUCUUCCAGAGUUUGUGCACGCUGUCUUUUGACCACUCCACAAUUCUCUGGAGGUGUGUGGCCACAUAAUAUAGGUGGAAGUCUGGGAGGGCUAAUCCUCCUUUAUCCUUAGGUCGUGUCAGGGUGGAGAAUUUCACUCUAGGUCUCCUUCCGUUCCAUACGUAUCUGGUCAUUUCUGUUCUAAGGGUACUAACAAAAGGGCCCGGGAUCUCGAUGGGGAUAGCUUGGAGGAGGUAUAGGAGGCGUGGAAGGAAGUUCAUUUUUAUUACCUGAACUCUCCCUAACCAUGAGAUGUGGGGGUACGACCAUUCUCGCAUGACUUUUUGGAACGUCUGGAGUGUAUCUGUGAAAUUUUCCUUGAACAUGUCCUCACUUCGGUUGGUCAGCCAGACUCACAAAUAUCUAAUUUUAUGUUCGGCCCAUUGGAAGGGGAAGCUUUGUCGGAGGGGGUUCGCCCGUUCAGUACGCUUACGUUAAGGAUGAAGGAUUUGCCGUAGUUAAUUUUCAAAUUGGAGAUUUUCCCAUAUAGCUGUAGAUCCCUCUG